rnacentral:lncRNA from 1 species
CAAGGAUUGGUGAGGCUGGCAAGCAGGCAGAAGAAACAAGGAAGCAGGCGCAGCAAGAGAACAAGGAGAGGACUUCCGGGGUUAGCCACCCAUCUAGCCAUGAAGUAAGAAGGAAAGUAAAAAUCUACAGAAGAGACAGACAAAAAAAGCCCAGAAGGAAAGGUAGUCGGGAUAAUCUAAAACAGGACUGGAACCUGCAAAUGCCUGGCCAGGCACCACCUGAAGCUGUCACAGGAAGUGUAGGAAAUGAACAGACUGGCACAUGCAUGUCCAGCUGUGCCUCCUCUCCAGGGCGCUCCUUUGUCAUUCAAGCCAUCAGAGAGCAGCAUCCACUCAGACUGCUGGGACCAGGUUCAAGCCUACCCUACAGAACCCACAGUUCUAUGAAGAAACUUAAAGUGAACCCACCACUACUUUUCUAGGCAUCCACUAGGGCCCUGAGGUCAUCAUCCAUCUGUCACUUGCACAGACCUGGCUUUCAAGAACCUCUCACUACAAGCAGCCACAUGGAUGACUGGAAGAGAAGCACCCCAACUGGCAGAGGGACAGCAAUAAAAGCUGUCUCUGGACUGCAGCACCCUCUAGAGGACACAUGGAAUCUUAAUGCAACCACCAAAGCCUGUGGCCCUGCCUGUCCCCUCUCUGGGUCACUGGGCUUCUGAGAACUGAGUGAGUAUAGACCAGAUGCAUGACCAAGUCAAGUGAUCACUCAGAGGGCAGGAAGGAAGCAAAGAGUUCCAAAAUACAUUCACUUCUUUUGUCUAUACUUUUCAGCUAGACAAUGUAAGGUUUGAAUCAAUGGGAGCUGGACACUGGACAAUGGGGUCAGGAGGUGGCCAGGGGCACAGCAAGGACUCAGUGCUGCACCGGCCAACCUGCCUCCCUCCUUCAGGAGGACCCUAAAUUACUCAACAGGGAUAGCAGAGGACCUUAACUCUAACACCCAGUGCUAUUCUUUUACCCCAGAUGGUGGUGACGACAUCAUAUUGGGGACACACCUAUGUGGCACACAGUCCCCUCCUUUCAAUACCUCUCUUCAGCACAGUGAAGCUGUCCCUGGCCACUCCCAAUGAACAAUCAAGCAGCCUUUAAAAACUGGGUUCUCCCAACUGGAAGAAAAGCACGGUGUCAUUUUUACAAUCACUAAAAUAAUGCAAAAGUAAGAUAGAGGCACAUGGUUGUCUAACAGGGCCAGGCAACGAUUUCAAAAGAAUGAGAUGUCAGAAUUUCCUCUUAGUCACCCAGGAGGUUGAAGGAGAUGGACUAAGACAGUAUCAAAG